GGAAUAUAAGAACCUUUCUCUUAACUUUUAACUAAAAAACCUAAGAACCGGCUCUUAAAAAAGAGUUUUAAGAAACAAUUCUUAGCUUUUUUAGUUAAAAGUUAAGAUACGAGUUCUUAUAUUCC
rfam:Brassica napus, WGS project CCCW01000000 data, contig: 4233